AUGAACGCUAGCGGCAGGCCUAACACAUGCAAGUCGAGGGGCAUCGGGAUUGAAGCUUGCUUCAAUUGCCGGCGACCGGCGCACGGGUGCGUAACGCGUAUGUAACCUACCUAUAACAGGGGCAUAACACUGAGAAAUUGGUACUAAUUCCCCAUAAUAUUCGGAGAGGCAUCUCUCCGGGUUGAAAACUCCGGUGGUUAUAGAUGGACAUGCGUUGUAUUAGCUAGUUGGUGAGGUAACGGCUCACCAAGGCAACGAUACAUAGGGGGACUGAGAGGUUAACCCCCCACACUGGUACUGAGACACGGACCAGACUCCUACGGGAGGCAGCAGUGAGGAAUAUUGGUCAAUGGACGCAAGUCUGAACCAGCCAUGCCGCGUGCAGGAAGACGGCUCUAUGAGUUGUAAACUGCUUUUGUACGAGGGUAAACUCACCUACGUGUAGGUGACUGAAAGUAUCGUACGAAUAAGGAUCGGCUAACUCCGUGCCAGCAGCCGCGGUAAUACGGAGGAUUCAAGCGUUAUCCGGAUUUAUUGGGUUUAAAGGGUGCGUAGGCGGUUUGAUAAGUUAGAGGUGAAAUCCCGGGGCUUAACUCCGGAACUGCCUCUAAUACUGUUAGACUAGAGAGUAGUUGCGGUAGGCGGAAUGUAUGGUGUAGCGGUGAAAUGCUUAGAGAUCAUACAGAACACCGAUUGCGAAGGCAGCUUACCAAACUAUAUCUGACGUUGAGGCACGAAAGCGUGGGGAGCAAACAGGAUUAGAUACCCUGGUAGUCCACGCAGUAAACGAUGAUAACUCGUUGUCGGCGAUACACAGUCGGUGACUAAGCGAAAGCGAUAAGUUAUCCACCUGGGGAGUACGUUCGCAAGAAUGAAACUCAAAGGAAUUGACGGGGGCCCGCACAAGCGGAGGAACAUGUGGUUUAAUUCGAUGAUACGCGAGGAACCUUACCCGGGCUUAAAUUGCACUCGAAUGAUCCGGAAACGGUUCAGCUAGCAAUAGCGAGUGUGAAGGUGCUGCAUGGUUGUCGUCAGCUCGUGCCGUGAGGUGUCGGGUUAAGUCCCAUAACGAGCGCAACCCCUACCGUUAGUUGCCAUCAGGUCAAGCUGGGCACUCUGGCGGGACUGCCGGUGUAAGCCGAGAGGAAGGUGGGGAUGACGUCAAAUCAGCACGGCCCUUACGUCCGGGGCUACACACGUGUUACAAUGGUAGGUACAGAGGGUCGCUACCCCGUGAGGGGAUGCCAAUCUCGAAAGCCUAUCUCAGUUCGGAUUGGAGGCUGAAACCCGCCUCCAUGAAGUUGGAUUCGCUAGUAAUCGCGCAUCAGCCAUGGCGCGGUGAAUACGUUCCCGGGCCUUGUACACACCGCCCGUCAAGCCAUGGAAGCUGGGGGUGCCUGAAGUUCGUGACCGCAAGGAGCGACCUAGGGCAAAACCGGUAACUGGGGCU
rnacentral:rRNA from 1 species